rnacentral:rRNA from 1 species
GAUGAACGCUGGCGGCGUGCCUAAUACAUGCAAGUCGAGCGAACAGACGAGGAGCUUGCUCCUCUGACGUUAGCGGCGGACGGGUGAGUAACACGUGGAUAACCUACCUAUAAGACUGGGAUAACUUCGGGAAACCGGAGCUAAUACCGGAUAAUAUAUUGAACCUCAUGGUUCAAUAGUGAAAGACGGUUUUGCUGUCACUUAUAGAUGGAUCCGCGCCGCAUUAGCUAGUUGGUAAGGUAACGGCUUACCAAGGCAACGAUGCGUAGCCGACCUGAGAGGGUGAUCGGCGACACUGGAACUGAGACACGGUCCAGACUCCUACGGAAGGCAGCAGUAGGGAAUCUUCCGCAAUGGGCGAAAGCCUGACGGAGCAACGCCGCGUGAGUGAUGAAGGUCUUCGGAUCGUAAAACUCUGUUAUUAGGGAAAAACAAAUGUGUAAGUAACUAUGCACGUCUUGACGGUACCUAAUCAGAAAGCCACGGCUAACUACGUG